rnacentral:rRNA from 1 species
CAGCAGCCGCCGCGGGAAUACGGAGGGGGCUAGCGUUGUUCGGAAUUACUGGGCGUAAAGCGCACGUAGGCGGCUUUGUAAGUUAGAGAUGAAAGCCCGGAGCUCAACUCCGGAAUUGCCUUUAAGACUGCAGAGCUAGCAGGUGAGAGAGGUGAGUGGAAUUCCGAGUGUAGAGGUGAAAUUCGUAGAUAUUCGGAAGAACACCAGUGGCGAAGGCGGCUCACUGGCUCAUACUGGACGCUGAGGUGCGAAAGCGUGGGGAGCGAACAGGAUUAGAUACCCCCGUAGUCCCUGUCUCUUAUAC